UACGAAGGGUGCAAACGUUGCUCGGAAUCAUUGGGCGUAAAGCGCACGUAGGCGGCCUCGCAAGUUGGAUGUGAAAUCCCUCGGCUCAACCGAGGACGUGCCAUCCAAAACGUGCUUGGCUUGAGUACUGAAGAGGAUCGCGGAAUUCCCGGUGUAGAGGUGAAAUUCGUAGAUAUCGGGAAGGAACACCAGUGGCGAAGGCGGCGAUCUGGGCAGAUACUGACGCUGAGGUGCGAAAGCGUGGGGAGCAAACAGG
rnacentral:rRNA from 1 species